rnacentral:rRNA from 1 species
CCUACGGGUGGCAGCAGUGGGGAAUAUUGCACAAUGGGGGAAACCCUGAUGCAGCGACGCCGCGUGAGCGAAGAAGUAUUUCGGUAUGUAAAGCUCUAUCAGCAGGGAAGAAAAUGACGGUACCUGACUAAGAAGCCCCGGCUAACUACGUGCCAGCAGCCGCGGUAAUACGUAGGGGGCAAGCGUUAUCCGGAUUUACUGGGUGUAAAGGGAGCGUAGACGGGACAGCAAGUCUGAUGUGAAAGGCGGGGGCUCAACCCCCGGACUGCAUUGGAAACUGCUGACCUGGAGUACCGGAGGGGUAAGCGGAAUUCCUAGUGUAGCGGUGAAAUGCGUAGAUAUUAGGAGGAACACCGGUGGCGAAGGCGGCUUACUGGACGGUAACUGACGUUGAGGCUCGAAAGCGUGGGGAGCAAACAGGAUUAGAUACCCCAGUAGUC